UUCGAUUUUUAAGGUCUUGUUUUAUAGUAUUAUGAAAUAACUUCCUUGGAAUUACGUUCAACUAGAUACAUUAACAAUUUUUUAUCGCGCAAGAGCGCAAGGAGGUUUCAUAAUUAUGAAACAAGGUACUGUUAAAUGGUUCAACGCUGACAAAGGUUACGGAUUUAUUACUACUGACGACGGUGACGUUUUCGUUCACUUCUCAGCUAUCCAAAAAGACGGCUUCAAGUCAUUAGACGAAGGCCAAAAAGUUACUCUUGACGUUGAAGACAGCGACCGUGGACCACAAGCUGCUAACGUUAACGUUGUUGAAUAAUUCAACAGCUUUUAACCAGUGAGCAAUCACUGGUUUUUUU
rnacentral:sRNA from 1 species